GACGAACGCUGGCGGCGUGCUUAACACAUGCAAGUCGAACGGAAGGCCCUGCUUUUGUGGGGUGCUCGAGUGGCGAACGGGUGAGUAACACGUGAGUAACCUGCCCUUGACUUUGGGAUAACUUCAGGAAACUGGGGCUAAUACCGGAUAGGAGCUCCUUCCGCAUGGUGGGGGUUGGAAAGUUUCGGCGGUUGGGGGUGGACUCGCGGCUUAUAAGCUUGUUGGUGGGGUAGUGGCUUACCAAGGCUUUGACGGGGAGCCGGCCUGAGAGGGUGACCGGCAACAUUGGGAUGGGGAUACGGCCCAGACUCCUACGGGAGGAAGAGGGGGGAAUAUUGCACAAUGGGCGGAAGCCUGAUGCAGCAACGCCGCGUGCGGGAUGACGGCCUUCGGGUUGUAAACCGCUUUCGCCUGUGACGAAGCGUGAGUGACGGUAAUGGGUAAAGAAGCACCGGCUAACUACGUG
rnacentral:rRNA from 1 species